AUUGAACGCUGGCGGCAGGCCUAACACAUGCAAGUCGAGCGGAGCGGCGGACGGGUGAGUAAUGGUUAGGAAUCUGCCUGGUCGUGGGGGAUAACGUCCGGAAAUGGGCGCUAAUACCGCAUACUAUCAGAUGAGCCUAGGUCGGAUUAGCUAGUUGGUGGGGUAAAGGCCUACCAAGGCGACGAUCCGUAACUGGUCUGAGAGGAUGAUCAGUCACACUGGAACUGAGACACGGUCCAGACUCCUACGGGAGGCAGCAGUGGGGAAUAUUGGACAAUGGGCGAAAGCCUGAUCCAGCCAUGCCGCGUGUGUGAAGAAGGUCUUCGGAUUGUAAAGCACUUUAAGUUGGGAGGCGUUACCCACAGAAUAAGCACCGGCUAACUUCGUGCCAGCAGCCGCGGUAAUAC
rnacentral:rRNA from 1 species